rnacentral:rRNA from 1 species
CAAUAGCGUAUAUUUAAGUUGUUGCAGUUAAAAAGCUCGUAGUCGGAUUUUGGCUGAGAACGAUCGGUCCGCCGUUAGGUGUGCACUGAUUGGUCUCAGCUUCCUGGUGAGGAGGUGUGCUUCACGGCCACUUAGUCACCGUGGUUACUUUGAAAAAAUUAGAGUGUUCAAAGCGGGCUUACGCUUGAAUAUAUUAGCAUGGAAUAACACCAUAGGACUCCUGUCCUAUUUCGUUGGUCUCGGGACGGGAGUAAUGAUUAAGAGGAACAGUUGGGGGCAUUCGUAUUUCAUUGUCAGAGGUGAAAUUCUUGGAUUUAUGAAAGACGAACUUCUGCGAAAGCAUUUGCCAAGGAUGAUUUCAUUGA